rnacentral:rRNA from 1 species
AUUGAACGCUGGCGGCAUGCCUUACACAUGCAAGUCGAACGGCAGCACGGGUGCUUGCACCUGGUGGCGAGUGGCGAACGGGUGAGUAAUACAUCGGAACAUGUCCUGUAGUGGGGGAUAGCCCGGCGAAAGCCGGAUUAAUACCGCAUACGAUCUACGGAUGAAAGCGGGGGACCUUCGGGCCUCGCGCUAUAGGGUUGGCCGAUGGCUGAUUAGCUAGUUGGUGGGGUAAAGGCCUACCAAGGCGACGAUCAGUAGCUGGUCUGAGAGGACGACCAGCCACACUGGGACUGAGACACGGCCCAGACUCCUACGGGAGGCAGCAGUGGGGAAUUUUGGACAAUGGCGAAAGCCUGAUCCAGCAAUGCCGCGUGUGUGAAGAAGGCCUUCGGGUUGUAAAGCACUUUUGUCCGGAAAGAAAUCCUUGGCCCUAAUACGGUCGGGGGAUGACGGUACCGGAAGAAUAAGCACCGGCUAACUACGUG